AUGAUACAAAUAUACAUUAAAACUUUUUUUUUCAUUUCUUUGAAUUUUUCUCAAAAUUUGUGUGUUGACCCCUACAAAAUAUUCAGUUUUUCGGUAAAUAGUUAAUAUACCGAAGCAUAUAAUCUUUAGUGUUGUUUUAAAAUUUCUAACCACAUUCUACGUUUGUAUUAAUGUAUUCUAAACUCUAUUUCAUGGUACAUUGGCAUCGUUCUCUUUUUUUUAAUCAAUUAAUUUAGUAAAACUUCAUAGGC
rnacentral:lncRNA from 1 species